GGAGAGAAGCAAUAAACAAAUUCCAGGCAACGCAUUUGCAUUUUAACUGGGAUUUUCUGGGAAAAACUCCUGACCCAGAACAAAUCCAUCCAUUCUUUCCACAUGCCGUUUGUGAGCACCUACUCCAGGCCAGGUGCUGGGACUCAGUAGUGAGCUCUGCCUGGCGGAGGAGGCCCUGCAGGGUCAGGGUCUAGCAGAGGCAGGGCUGCUUGGGGGAUUUCAGACAAGAGGGCAGCGGAGCACAAGAUGCUUUGGGAGAAGUGAGCUUUGUGAAUACAAUCAAGGCAGACCAAGGAGGCACUGUCCCAACAUUUAUGGGAAAGUGUGCUCCUAGGAACAGUCAACUUAGGGAGAGGAGGAUUAGGUUCAAAUCUCACUCCACUACCUACUCACUGGGUGACUUUGGGCAAAUCCAGGCGGUUGAACCUGCAAUUUCCUCAUGAGUAAAAUGGGGAUUAAAAAGAGUGUGUAGGACCCAACCCAUGGGAUUCUCAUCAUACUAAGUGAGAUGUGUUGUGAUUUGCUCCCCACAUCACAGUGUCCCAGAAGAAUGUUGUUAAGAUGUCUACUAUCUCUUCCAGGAAGUAGUAGACAUGUUAACUCAUAGCUUGUAGCUAUGACCCUCCCCGCCUCCCCAGACCCAUGACACAGAGGUCAGGGGCCAAGCACUGGUGCCAAGAGUGCUCAGAUGCACAGACUCUGAGGCCAAGCAUCCAGAGCCAACUAUGUGACUUCGGGCAGCUCACUUCACCUCUCAGGGCCCCAGUUUUCUCAUUUUAAAAUGCUCACUCACUAUAUGGGCUUGUUGAGAGGAUUAAAUCCAUGUAAAAGCAACACAGAUCGUAAGCUCCUUGACAUCCAGUCUUGGUGAUGAUGAUUUUUUGGAUUUGACACAAAAAGCAAAAGCAACAAAAGCAAAAGCAAACAAGUGGGACUACAUCAAACUAAAAACCUUCUGCACAGCAAAGGAAACAAUCUGCAAAAUGAAAAGGCAGCCUACUGAAUCAGAGAAAAUAUUUGAAAAUCAAAUAUCUGAUAAGGGGUUAAGACCCGAAAUAUAUGAAAAUCUCAUACAACUCAAUAGCAAAUAAAUAAAUAACCCGGUUAAAAUGGCAGAGGAUCUGAAAAUGCAUUUUUCCAAAGAAGAAAUAUAGAUGUCGAAUAAGUACAUGGAAAGGUGUUCACCAUCACUAAUCAUCAGGAAAUGCAAAUCAAAACCACAAUGAGAUAUCACCUCACACCUGCUAGAAUGGCUAUUACCAAAAUGAUAAGAAAUUAGAAGUUGGAGAGGAUGUGGAGAAAAAGGAACCCUUGUGCGUGCACGAUUGGUAGGAAAGCAAAAAGUGGGUGCAGCCACUAUGGAAAACAGUAUGGAGGAAUACCAGGGGCUUCCAGUGUCAUUCAAGCAGCACUGACCUGAUAUCCGGUCAUGCUGGUCCUGGACACAGAUGAGAGAUACAGGAAGGCAAGACACUGAAUCAUCUGUCUUCUUCCAGCAUCAGCAAUGAGAAACUACGUGAGGCUGUGCCUUUCUAGCCCCACAAAGAGAAAUUUUUAUCUAAUAGUGAAAUGUAGAGACAUUUACAGUUGUGGGUGCGGCUAUCCUCCGACCAGCUCCAACACAUGGUACCCCCAGGAGCUCCCUAUUCAAGACAGGCCU